rnacentral:rRNA from 1 species
CCUACGGGAUGCAGCAGUGGGGAAUAUUGCGCAAUGGGCGAAAGCCUGACGCAGCGACGCCGCGUGAGGGAUGAAGGUCUUCGGAUCGUAAACCUCUGUCAGCAGGGAAGAACGGUCACUGUGCUAAUCAGCAGUGCAUUGACGGUACCUGCAAAGGAAGCACCGGCUAACUCCGUGCCAGCAGCCGCGGUAAUACGGAGGGUGCGAGCGUUAAUCGGAAUUACUGGGCGUAAAGCGCUCGUAGGCGGUAGGUCAAGUCAAGGGUGAAAUCCCCGCGCUUAACGGGGGAACUGCAUUUGAAACUGGCAAACUGGAGUGUGUGAGAGGAUAGUGGAAUUCCAGGUGUAGGAGUGAAAUCCGUAGAUAUCGGGAGGAACAACAGUGGCGAAGGCGACUAUCUGGCACAUAACUGACGCUGAGGAGCGAAAGCGUGGGUAGCAAACAGGAUUAGAUACCCUUGUAGUC